AAUAAGUGCAGCCAUGGAUAUCCGUGCCCAACGUUUGACCGUCCGUCUUAUUUAAAAAAAUUGUGAAAAAUUUGAAAAUAUUUAGUCACACAUAAAGUAUUUUUCAUGUUUUAUCAUCUAAUAACAAUAAAAAUAUUAAUUAUAAAAAAAUUUCAAAUAAAACGAACGGUUAAACGUUGAACGUAAAUAGUGUAAAAUUGUAUUUAUU
rnacentral:pre_miRNA from 1 species